GCUCGCUUCGGCGGGUCG
rnacentral:snRNA from 1 species